rnacentral:rRNA from 1 species
GAUUAACGCUGGCGGCGCACAUAAGACAUGCAAGUCGAACGGAAGUCGUUAUAACUCAGAACGAAGAUUUAUCUGAGGGACGAGAUAUAACAAUGGCUUUAGUGGCGGACUGGUGAGUAACACGUAAGAAACCUGCCUAUUAGAGGGGAAUAACAACGAGAAAUCGUUGCUAAUACCGCAUAAGCUAGUAGUACCGCAUGGUACAGCUAGAAAAGGAGAAAUCCGCUAAUAGAUGGUCUUGCGUCCGAUUAGCUAGUUGGUGGGGUAACGGCCUACCAAGGCAACGAUCGGUAGCCGAGCUGAGAGGCUCAACGGCCACAUUGGGACUGAGAUACGGCCCAGACUCCUACGGGAGGCAGCAGUCGGGAAUAUUGCGCAAUGGAGGAAACUCUGACGCAGUGACGCCGCGUAUAGGAAGAAGGUUUUCGGAUUGUAAACUAUUUUAGACAGGGAAGAAAUUGACAGUACCUGUAGAAUAAGCUC